CAUCAACCUUCAAUUGUAGGGCAAUAACUGCUUGAUCCAAGGAAAAUCUGACUGCCAUUAUGUGGUCAAGAAGGAAUUUUUUUCCCAGCUUGUUGCAAAUUGGCAGCGCUUCAAACUGGGUUUUUUCGCCUUCUUUUGGAUCAACCGUUUAAACACAAAUGUUAACUUUGUAAUCUAGUUGUUGAGCCACUAUUUUUGCUUCCACAGUUUCUUGGGUCUCACAUACUUUCCCACAGCCACCACGUCCUUCUUGCAGCAUUAUCUUAGGAAGUCUCACCUAUUCAUGCAGCCUACUGAUUACCCUCUCUACCCCACAUUUAGUCUACCCUAGGGGGCCAACAUGUUUAAUAUACCUUACUUCCCCUUGCACAAUUAAGAGUGCCGGUUAAAGUGCUGG